GGGGAUUUAGCUCAGUGGCAUAAGCACCUGCCUGGCAAGCAGGAAAUCGAAAGUUCGAUCCCCA
rnacentral:tRNA from 1 species